rnacentral:rRNA from 1 species
GUAGGGGCCAAGCGUUAUCCGGAUUUAUUGGGCGUAAAGAGCUCGUAGGCGGCUUAGCAAGUCGGCCGUGAAAGUCCGAGGCUCAACCUCGGAAUGCCGGUCGAAACUGCUAUGGCUAGGGUUCGGUAGAGGAGAGUGGAAUUCUCGGUGUAGCGGUGAAAUGCGCAGAUAUCGAGAGGAACACCAGUAGCGAAGGCGGCUCUCUGGGCCGAUACCGACGCUGAGGAGCGAAAGCGUGGGGAGCAAACAGGGAUUAGAUACCCUGGUAGUCCACGCCGUAAACGGUGAUCACUAGAUGUGGCGGACUCAUUGACGUCUGCCGUGUCGGAGCUAACGCAUUAAGUGAUCCGCCUGGGGAGUACGGCCGCAAGGCUA